ACUCCUACGGGAGGCAGCAGUGGGGAAUCUUGGACAAUGGGGGCAACCCUGAUCCAGCCAUGCCGCGUGAGUGAUGAAGGCCCUAGGGUCGUAAAGCUCUUUCGCCUGUGAUGAUAAUGACAGUAGCAGGUAAAGAAACCCCGGCUAACUCCGUGCCAGCAGCCGCGGUAAUACGGAGGGGGUUAGCGUUGUUCGGAAUUACUGGGGCGUAAAGCGCGCGUAGGCGGAUUGGAAAGUUGGGGGUGAAAUCCCGGGGGCUCAACCCCGGAACUGCCUCCAAAACUCCCAGUCUUGAGUUCGAGAGAGGUGAGUGGAAUUCCGAGUGUAGAGGUGAAAUUCGUAGAUAUUCGGAGGAACACCAGUGGCGAAGGCGGCUCACUGGCUCGAUACUGACGCUGAGGUGCGAAAGUGUGGGGAGCAAACAGGAUUAGAUACCCUGGUAGGAUAGCG
rnacentral:rRNA from 1 species